UACGGAGGGUGCGGGCGUAUCCGGAUUCACUGGGUUUAAAAGGGUGCGUAGGUGGGUCUGUAAGUCAGUGGUGAAAUCUCCGGGCUUAACCUGGAAAACUGCCAUUGAUACUAUAGGUCUUGAAUUUUCUGGAGGUAAGCGGAAUAUGUCAUGUAGGCGGUGAAAUGCUUAGAUAUGACAUAGAACACCAAUUGCGAAGGCAGCUUGCUACAGGAAUAUUGACACUGAGGCACGGAAAGCGUGGGGAUCAAACAGGA
rnacentral:rRNA from 1 species